UUAAAGGGACACACAAAAACUAUGUGUUUUUGCUCACACCCAAAUUUGACAAGCUAUAAUAAAUGAUCUGUGGGGUAUAAAAGGGGCAUAAAUAAUAGCUACUACCAAUCAGCUGUGCCCUAUAGGGAAUGAUGUGAUUGCAAGCAGAUUGAGUUAAGGACCUAUCAGCCUGCGGCAUCUAGAGUUUCAUGACAGAACUUUGUAUGUAUGCUAAUGCAGACGUGUUGUUAUUCAGGUAGUCAUUUAGCCUCAGAUGUCACGCCCGCAGACCGUUGGCUGAACGACUGAUGCAAAUGGCACAUAAAAUUGGAAACACUUCAGGAGUUGUAAAGUCGUUAUCUGAUCUGGUUGAAUUCUACAGGGUUUCUGGGAGACAUUUGUGUCGCAUUCUUUAACAGUCCGCUUAAAAACAAAGUCGUCCUGAUGCCAAACCCCCUCAUGGAAAAAGAAAGCCAUCGUGUUUACAACUGUAAAGGAUUAGAAUUAUGUGAAGAAUGUGAAGUUUGGGGUGAAUACUUCCAAGUGUUUUACACGCUGGUCUGUUAUUGUUGGGACAUUGCCGUUACAUUUUCACGCCCCUAAACAAACUGUGAUUGGUUGCUUUACAUGUCAGUCAGAUGUCCUUUUUGGCCAAUGAAAGCUGCUAUGGAGUACCUUCCGCUGUCGUUCUGAAAGUCUACGUGAGACUAUCAUGUAGGUUCACACUCUGGUGUCUGCCUGUAGGUAUGUAACAUGUAAAAGUAGGGUUUUAAUGGCAAGAAUGAGGCAUAAACCACGAAAAAAAUGUGAGGGGGCACCUCUUUUCCUCUUCGACACACAAUCCAUGUCAUCACCCUCGAACUUAGUACGCAAGACCACCAAAAAAAAAAAAAAAAACAAGGAGCAGAACAAUAUUUACUCAGCAGUAAUUUUCUAUGGAAUUUUUUGGAAGAUAAUUUGAAAAAGUCAGCUCGGGUGUCUACAAUAGGCCCUUUGAGCAGCUCAGUUUGAGUCUGGAUUUGGAGUGCAGCCAGAGAACCAGCUCUCUUAAAAUCACAGAAUAAAGGAGGCCUUUUAUUGAAAAGCAAGAAAGCAGACGCACACACGUUCAGUUACCCACCGCUGUCGACACACUGACACGCCUGUUUCUCCUGUGACUGACGUUUGCUUGUACGUUUCGCGGUCAAAUUUGCCUCAAUCUGAUGCUUUAUUGUUCUCUCAGUUUGAGUUAAUAGGCAGUGCUGUGUGAGAGUUUCUGUUGUUUUUAAUUAUUUGACAUGAUCGCACUCAUUACAAAUGGAAAUGCUAUUAGUGCUGGACAGCGGUGGGCUGUUUUAUGUGUUUGUGUUGUUAAACGGGUUUAAUAUACAACAGAUUGCAGCUGGAUGGUUGUAGAUAAGCAGACUUUGUUUGGAAGUAGUGCGAAGCGUUUGUUGCAAAUCCUUCCAAAUGUACCUGUAAAGCAGGUGGGUGGUCAGUUUAAAGGAUGUGUGUAAUAACAAACAAUCCUCAUUAUUUCACCCAGUGACGUACAUGGAGGUGAACCGGCACCUAUUAGAUUCGGCAAUUGUUUGUUUUUAAUAAAAAUCCCCUGUUUACCUCAAGCUUUCUCCAUAAAGGGAAAAUAUAUUACCUUUCCUUGGCACUCAAAUCCUAAAAUUCCUCAUAAAAGUUUGCUUUGGGUGGUGCGUUUGCAGAUGGCGUUGAGGAUGCUAGCACUCUCCCUGUGUGCACAUUUAUUUUCGUCUAUUAAACCGAAUACACUAAACAAAGACAUACGUUCAACGUCAGUAAACCUAAUUGACUCUGCUGCUAAUCAGACCAGCUCGCUUGAGCAAGAAACAGAAGAAUAAAAAAAGUUAUUUUCAUUUUUUUAUUUUUUUUAUUUUUCGUUUGCAGCUUUUUGAAAAUACCAUCAUACAUAUACACACAUCUCCAUAUAGACAAAAGAAAAGUAUAAAAAAGAGCUUCCCAAAUUAAACAGGGAAAAUUAGAGGCAGAUCUUAUCAAAAAUAUUCACAAAUAUUUCAAUACUUCAUACUGCAGAGAUUUUUUCCAGUUUGGAUAUUCCUAACAACAACAAUAAAAAAAAAAUGUUUUCAAUUACAAACCCUUCUUCUUUUAAGCAGAAGGUUGCACAAUUUCAUUUUUACAUUUUUAUUUUAUUUAAUUUUUUUUGGAAACAUCAUUUGACAGGUUGUAGAACAAGUGCUAAAAUAGUAACACAUUUCCUC